CCUACGGGAGGCAGCAGUGGGGAAUAUUGCACAAUGGGGGAAACCCUGAUGCAGCGACGCCGCGUGAGUGAAGAAGUAUUUCGGUAUGUAAAGCUCUGUCAGCAGGGAAGAAAAUGACGGUACCUGACCAAGAAGCUCCGGCUAACUACGUGCCAGCAGCCGCGGUAAGACGUAGGAGGCAAGCGUUAUCCGGAUUUACUGGGUGUAAAGGGAGCGUAGACGGCAGGGCAAGUCUGGAGUGAAAGUCGGGGGCUCAACCCCAGGACUGCUCUGGAAACUGGCAGGCUGGAGUGCAGGAGAGGUAAGUGGAAUGCGUAGUGUAGCGGUGAAAUGCGUAGAUAUUAGGCGGAACACCAGUGGCGAAGGCAGCUUACUAGACUGUAACUGACGUUGAGGCUCGAAAGCGUGGGGAGCAAACAGGAUUAGAUACCCUUGUAGUC
rnacentral:rRNA from 1 species